UGGCAAGGAGCCGACGAGGAGGCUGGAGCCUAAAGACGGGACGACGACGUCUGGGUCAACGAGCUCCGUCACCGGUCCUCCGCUAGAUCGGUGAGGACGACUUCGCCAGUUCGCCUUCGACCCCGUGCUGCUCCUUAUUCAGCGUCUGCGGCGGUCGUCCCCUCUCCAUCCAUCAGCGGCGGCGGCCCAGGUGUGAGCCCACUCCCUCCUCUCGAAUCCUCCUCCAGCGAUCCAAUACGAAUCAGGUGCACACGGAGCACUGCGGGCCGGACCACAUCACCGUCAGGCUGGCGGCCGAGUUCACUGUCAGGUGCCCACGCGGGAUCACCAACAGGCCGGCGGAGCAUGACGCGAUCCAACAGGCUAACUACACACGCGCUGGCGUGAUUAGUUUCUUCUCACCGUCGGCAGGUACUCCCUUCAGACCAUGUUCUUUGCGACGCCCUGGUGGCCAUCAUUCUCCCGGACUGGACGCGCAUCUGCAUCGUCAAGUCCUGGAUUUACGGCAUGGUCUUCCCCGACCUUGCCGAGAUCGUGAUGGAACAUGACAAGCCCGCGCGUUCCGCAACUUCAUCCAAGGCGACCUCUCCAUCGCCGACUACUGCCAUCGCUUCAAAAGCAUGGUGGACUCGCUCGGCGACUUGGGCGAGCCAGUCUGCACCCUCGUCCUCAACAUCAGUUACUUUGAAAACAUGUAACAGUGUAUAUUGUGUUAUACUUCACAUGUUGUGCUAUUCAAUUUCAUAAGUCAGUAACUCAAUUAAAGUGAUUUUGCUCUGAAAUAUUGUUGGUCCGUCCAAAUUCAUCCUAUUUUUCAUCCAUACUUCUACUGGGCCCCCGAACCACUGGAUACAAAAAGGGGGAAAAAACGCCUUGGUAGUUUGUACAGAUGAGUAAUACUUUGGAUGUGUACAAGCUUGUCUCGUCAUGUUGGUUUUAGAACACUUUGUUUCUAUUUUUGCAGGCAAGGGGCAUGAAUUAUCUCACUAUUAUAACCCUCCUAUUGUUCACCGUGAUUUAAAAUCAUCAAUUUUAUUGGCUGGCAAGAACUGAACUGUAAAGACACAGUUGAUACCAGGUGUUGUGUAAUGAACCUUCAGAGAUGAAAACUAUGGGGGUUACUUUGCUGGAAGUUGUUACUCGGAAGAUACCCUGUAAUAAGGAAAAUCUGUGGAUACUGAAAACUUCACCUUACGGCUUACCAGGGACAUCCACCCCCACCCUUGCAAUAGUUGAGCUGUGGGUUUCAUUGGAUCAGAGGUACAUUUAAAGCGAUACAUAUCCUCAUGGGCAUCCAGGAUCGAGAGUUGCUGGGAUAGGUGAGACGACAUGAUGCCCAGAGCUCCAGAUUGGUCGGUACGUGGAACUGAAACAACAAUCACAAUCGUGUCCUUUCUCAGGCACCUUUUUUUCAUAUGAAACGGACACGCACGGCCGCACGCAUCCCGCCCCCACCACACCACAGGUUUAGACGCUUGCAGCUAGCUUGCUGUUUUCUUCCUCCUCCGCCGCCGCCUCGUCGCCCAUCCCCAUCAUCCGAUCCGAUGGCAUCCACCGCCUCCCCGCCGGCAGCCAGUGAGCUGGAUUCUCAUCUCGUCGUCUGGGACGCUAGUGCCGAAGACAUGGAAUUGGCCGCUUGGUUCAUCGAUUCGACUGCUCCCCGUCACAUGACUGGCAACCCGAGCCUUCUCACCGACCUAAUACAUGUGAGCAACACGUUUGUUGAUGCAGGGAUUGGCAAGGGAAUGCAGGUUGGUGGCAUUGGGUCUGUGAACAAAGAAGCUGUUGUGCUCCCUGACGUGUGGUUUGUGCCCGGGCUUGGGCUUAGUAUGAACCUGGUCUCGGUGGACCAGCUCACCGCUGACCCCAAUCUGAUCAUUGCGAUUGCUGGCACUGGGUGCAAUGUCACGAAGAUGAGUGAUGGAUCACUUGUUGGUAGUGCACAUCUGAGGCCUGACAACAAGUAUGAGGUAGACUUCUUGAGAAUUCAGCAGAACUAGGUGCCUUGUUUAGCAGAGUUGAUGCAUAGAGGCAGUAUCACAUACUGACUUGCUUCAAAUGGAUAUGCUUCUUGGGAAAUUGGUACGUGAUUGGAAAUUCUUUUUCCAUAGCUGGUACAUUUCAAGUAUAUGACAAGGUCUGGAUGUGAAUCAUGUGAUAUGUCUAAUAAAGUGUUCACUUUGUGCAA